rnacentral:rRNA from 1 species
UACGUAGGGUGCGAGCGUUGUCCGGAAUUAUUGGGCGUAAAGGGCUCGUAGGCGGUUUGUCGCGUCGGGAGUGAAAACCAUGGGCUUAACUCAUGGCUUGCUUUCGAUACGGGCAGACUAGAGGUAUGCAGGGGAGAACGGAAUUCCUGGUGUAGCGGUGAAAUGCGCAGAUAUCAGGAGGAACACCGGUGGCGAAGGCGGUUCUCUGGGCAUGAUCUGACGCUGAGGAGCGAAAGUGUGGGGAGCAAACAGG